CUCAAUUAAUUCAUUCACAUCUUCCCACACCAUCCACUCUCUUUCCAACCACUCAUUAAAAAUCUGAACCAUAUCCUCUCUCUCACUCACUCGACCUUUUCUCUCUUUCUCCCACAAAAGAACACUAUAUUUUUCUUCUUCUUCAUUCUAUUUCUUCUGCAACUUCUCUUCUUCCUCCUCACCAUUUUCUUCUUCCCAACAUGUCUGGAACAACACCACCACCACGAGCCAAAACCGCGAGCAUCACCACCUCCAUGCCUCCUUCACGCAGCAACCACCACUGUCCAUGUUCUGUUUUUCCUCUCCAUGAGAGCCACCACCAAAACCCUAGCCGCCACCUUUUUCCUCCGAUCUCCGGCGAACCAUUAAGUUUUUGGAGAAACCAACGCCACCACUGGACUCCUCUCAUCAACCGCAACAAAACCCCUUCAUCGAUUCGAAGAUCGGCUAGCUUUGUUCUGAGAACGGAGGCCAAUUUCUUGAAACUCUCAACCUCCUUUUCCUGAAUCCAAGGCCCCAGUAAGAGGGCUUGCUGGUCAUCAGAGGAAGAUAAGGCCAUGACCAGAGGAAGAAUUGAAGCUCAGUCCCAUGACCAUGAGACUUGAGGUAGAAGGAGAAAGACAUGAACUUUGUGCUUAAAAGUUUUGGGUCAAUAGGGGCCUUAUGCGUCUGUUGUGUGUGUGAGUUAGUGUAUUGGUUGUUCAAUUGCAAAGGGCAUGGGUUAGUUUUAAUUGCAAUAGGAUUGUUAGCUUAGCCAUGUGUUAAUUAUUAGUCCAGUUGGAAAAUGAAAAUUUUGUAUGUGUUUUCUGUUUUGGGGAAAGCUUACAUAAACCUGUUUUACUUUUAA